CUUUAUCGCAUGAAUCCAAAAACGUGCUUCAAAAAUCGCUAUUUUUAGCAGGUUUUUGGAUUCAUG
rnacentral:misc_RNA from 1 species